CUUGGUUGGCAGCUUGUCAUAAUUUCUUCCUAUGUUGUUUCCAUGUGCCAGGUGUAUAUAACACAGCUGCUGACAGUUUGUCUCGCUUUAAAUUUCAGGAGUUUCAUCAAGCACUCCCGUCAGCAGCACCCACAGCCACCAUCACUCCAACAUUUCAACAACUCAUACUGGACUAGACGUCAUCAUGCAGCAUAGCAGGACAUUGUCUCAGUUGGCACUUUCACACAAUACAACCAAAACAUACAGCAGGGCUUUCACACUAUUCAAACGAUUCCUUCUGGAACAUAACAUCAUACAACCGUUUGUUAUGACAUCUUUUUUGGGGUUUGCUUCCUUUUGCCACCUUAAACUCAAAAUGUCAUACAACACCAUCAAACUCUAUCUCACUGGCAUUAAACACCACAUGCUCAUCUUACACCCAAAUAACAACAGUUUCAUGGCCUCUCACCAAAUUAAGACCAUACUCAGAGGUAUUCAAAAAUCAGAACCCACACAUUUGGCCCAGAGGCUACCCAUAGAUAACCAUAUCUUCAAAGCAUUAUCUAACCUACUCGACCUAAAACAGUUUGACACUAAUACGAAUUCUAUCAUCAAAACAGCAAUAUACAUCGCUUUCUAUGGAUUUCUACGACCCAGAGAAUUCACUACGACCUCCACGACCCAAACCACUCCAUUCCUCCUCUAUUCCCACUUGACAAAACAUAUGGAUCAUUACAUCCUGUCUUUACCUCACUCCAAAACCAGCCAGCACAUACCUGUAAACAUUCCGUACUAUCCCACGCACAACAGAUGGUGUCCCGUCAAGGUUCUUGAUGCCUACA